rnacentral:rRNA from 1 species
UGGGGAAUUGUUCGCAAUGGGCGCAAGCCUGACGACGCAACGCCGCGUGGAGGAUGAAGAUCUUCGGGUCGUAAACUCCUUUCGAUCGAGACGAACGGCCCUCGGGCUAAUACCCUGAGGGAGUGACGGUACCGAGAGAAGAAGCCCCGGCUAACUCCGUGCCAGCAGCCGCGGUAAUACGGGGGGGGCAAGCGUUGUUCGGAAUUACUGGGCGUAAAGGGCUCGUAGGCGGCCAACUAAGUCAUACGUGAAAUCCCUCGGCUUAACCGGGGAACUGCGUCUGAUACUGGAUGGCUUGAGUUCGGGAGAGGGAUGCGGAAUUCCAGGUGUAGCGGUGAAAUGCGUAGAUAUCUGGAGGAACACCGGUGGCGAAGGCGGCAUCCUGGACCGAUACUGACGCUGAGGAGCGAAAGCCAGGGGAGCAAACGGGAUUAGAUACCCCCGUAGUCC